rnacentral:rRNA from 1 species
UCGCCUGUUUAUUCAAAAACAUGUCUUUAUGGGUGUUUAUGUAAAGUCUAGCCUGCCCAGUGAUAUAAAGUUUAACGGCCGCGGUAUAUUGACCGUGCGAAGGUAGCAUAAUAAUUAGUCUUUUAAUUGAAGACUGGAAUGAAAGGUUGAACAAAAAGUUAGCUGUCUCUAAAUUAAAUUUUGAAUUUAACAUUUAAGUGAAAAGGCUUAAAUAUUUUAAAGGGACGAUAAGACCCUAUAAAUCUUUAUAUUUGAUUUUAUAGAGCAAAAUAUUAAAAUAAUUUUUGUUCAAUAAGUUCGAGUAUUUUGUUGGGGCGACAAGAGUAUAAAAUGUAACUGCUCUAAAAUAAUAGUUAGUUGAUAUUUAGUUAAGUGAUCCUUUAAUAAAGAUGUUAGUUUAAGUUACUUUAGGGAUAACAGCGUAAUUUUUUUUGAGAGUUCAUAUCGAAAAAAAAGUUUGCGACCUCGAUGUUGAAUUAAAGAUCCUUUACGGUGCAGAAGUUGUAGAAGGAGGUCUGUUCGACCUUUAAAUCUUUACAUGAUUUGAGUUCAGACCGGCGUGAGCCAGGUUGGUUUCU